rnacentral:rRNA from 1 species
CCUUCGGGUUGUAAACCGCUUUCAGUAGGGACGAAGCUAACGUGACGGUACCUACAGAAGAAGGACCGGCCAACUACGUGCCAGCAGCCGCGGUGAUACGUAGGGUCCGAGCGUUGUCCGGAAUUAUUGGGCGUAAAGAGCUCGUAGGCGGCUUGUCACGUCGGAAGUGAAAUCUCGGAGCUCAACUCCGAGCCUGCUUCCGAUACGGGCUAGCUAGAGGAAGGUAGGGGAGAAUGGAAUUCCGGGUGGAGCGGUGGAAUGCGCAGAUAUCCGGAGGAACACCAGUGGCGAAGGCGGUUCUCUGGACCUUUCCUGACGCUGAGGAGCGAAAGCGUGGGGAGCAAACAGGCUUAGAUACCCUGGUAGUCCACGCCGUAAACGGUGGGCACUAGGUGUGGGACUCAUUCCGCGAGUUCCGUGCCGUAGCUAACGCAUUAAGUGCCCCGCCUGGGGAGUACGGCCGCAAGGCUAAAACUCAAAGGAAUUGACGGAAUCACUA